rnacentral:sRNA from 1 species
AAUAUGAUCCCAAAUGCUAAAGUAGUGUUUCCUUGUUAGAAAAUACAAAGCCAAAGACUCAUACAGCCUUUGGC